UCUUUUUAUUCCAAUAUUUAUUUCCUUUUUUCACCCUUUUUUAAUCAUCAUUUCUCUCUGAUUUUUGGCUCCCGAUUUCAAUUUCGCCGAUUCAUUACUACGCCACCAACGGCCAACCUGCCGGCGCCGGCGGAAUUCCCUGGGUUUUUUCUUCUUCUCCUACACGCCAGAUCCGCUUAAUCGUCAUCAAGGGUAGUUUGGUUCGGUUUGUUGUGAUCAAAGGAGUGUUGAAAAGAGAAGAAAAAAAAGGUGUUGUCGGGGUGCCCCAGAUGAGAACUGAUGUUAUUGACAGUAGAAGGAGGGUUCUUCUCUUCUUCAGCGUCUGGGUAUAGGAAGGGUUUGACCCUUCUUCUCUUGGGUCAGAAGCACGAGGACAGGUCCAUGAGAGUUUCACCGUGGAACCAUUUCCAGUUGGUAGACCGAGAACCUGACCCUGACCUCCAACUGGCUUCCAUCAAGAAUCGGCUUCCCUGCGGGUGCGCCUCUUUUGUCUGCUUUCGUCGCACUUCUGCAGGGCUUGAAACACCGUCACCUUUGAAAAUUGGUCCUGUUCUACAGCAGGAUGUCUUGCCGGACUCUUGCGUUGUAGAUAAGGGUAACGAUCAAGCAAAUGAGCUUGAUGAUGGCAAUAUCAAUGUAAGAAAGGUUGUUUUGAAAAGUAGUUUGAAGAAGCAAUUAAGUAGUGCUCAGUUUCUCUCGAGGGUGUUAAUGAUCGUGAGGCAUUGGGGGACAGGAUGACGAUAACCCGAGUCAUACAGAACUAAAAGGUGCACUGGACUGAUGCUUAUGGGAGUGAGCUUGCUGAAAUCAGGGAAUUUGAGCCCAGUGAAACGGGUGGAUCAGAUGAUGAAUUCAGUAACGGAGUCGAAAAAACUUGUGCAUGUACAAUUAUGUAGUUCGGCCAUUAUUUUGAGCUCUAAUGAUGCAAUCAGGUAGAAGUCACUUGCUAACGAGUUUAAUCUUUAUGUUAGAAAUGUUGAGUUGAUUUGUGAGGAAAAAAAAAGAAGCAAGUGUUUUCUUUUGUUGUUCUACAUUGAAAAUGGAAUGCUUCCAAUUGAGAGGAGCUUUCUUUGUGGGCCAGCUUAGUUUGACUCAUCUUUUGUGUCUAUAUGUAAUAUAUAUAUAUAUUAUUUGAGAUUUCAAUUUUGUCAUCGUCACUUUUUUUUCUUUCUAAUAUCAUGAUUAUGUUUAUUAUUCUUG